rnacentral:rRNA from 1 species
GACGAACGCUGGCGGCGUGCCUAAUACAUGCAAGUCGUGCGGACCUUUUAAAAGCUUGCUUUUAAAAGGUUAGCGGCGGACGGGUGAGUAACACGUGGGCAACCUGCCUGUAAGACUGGGAUAACGCCGGGAAACCGGGGCUAAUACCAGAUCGUUUUUUCCUCCGCAUGGAGGAAAAAGGAAAGGCGGCUUCGGCUGCCACUUACAGAUGGGCCCGCGGCGCAUUAGCUAGUUGGCGGGGUAACGGCCCACCAAGGCAACGAUGCGUAGCCGACCUGAGAGGGUGAUCGGCCACAUUGGGACUGAGACACGGCCCAAACUCCUACGGGAGGCAGCAGUAGGGAAUCUUCCGCAAUGGACGAAAGUCUGACGGAGCAACGCCGCGUGAGUGAAGAAGGCCUUCGGGUCGUAAAACUCUGUUGCCGGGGAAGAACAAGUGCCGUUCGAACAGGGCGGCGCCUUGACGGUACCCGGCCAGAAAGCCACGGCUAACUACGU